rnacentral:lncRNA from 1 species
AACAACUACAAUUUCGCAUUAAUCUCCAUGCAUAGCACCCAGCGAGUUCUUUUCACGCAGCCCCUUUUCAUGAGUUAGCUGCCUGCGUAACGCCUAGUUAUGUGUUUCGGAAUUACUGUAAGAACAACGCCAGUAUAAGAUGUUGUGACACUUCUUUUGAAAGGGCUUCUAGCAGAAGGGAGAAAGCAAAAGGGCUACGCUUAAUCAAUGUAAAUGUCAGUGGCUUAUUUUAAUAAAUUCUUGAUUUAACGUGGCCUGUUUGCAGUUGCACGUUUUGUAAGGAAUUUGCCAUUCCCUUCCGAAGGUAGGUGACAUUUAAAAGAUCUGUAAAGGAGAUUGGCUUGACAGCUUCAAAUUACAUUUGAAAGAGUUUUUCUUUUUCUAAACAGAAAAUGAAUACUUCCUUUUCUAAAUGUCAUCGCAAAGGCACAAACAUAUUUAAUCAAAUUUAUAUAUUUAAUUUAUGUAAAGUUAGAUUUUUCCCCUUAUUCACGAGAGAGAGAGAGAGAGAGACCUGCUACAUUUUUGCCAUUUCAAAGGUUUAGCAAAGGUAGCAUUUAAAACUCUUGAGCUUUCUGAAUAAAUGAAUCCAUUGUUUGUAAGGAGUUCUGGAAUUCUUCAAAAAUUGGCAUCAGUUUAUUACUUGAGCCCUUUCUUGAUCUAGAUAUUUAGUUAACCUCUUGCUGUUAGAAGUACCUAAAUAUUUUUUAAUAGAGAAGUAUGUGUGACAAAUGGUUGGGUAGCUCUGGUAAAAAUAAUAAAUAACUAGAAAAUAUUGCAACACAACAGAAAAAAGUAUAAAUACAAAUUUAUUAUAGGGAAGUUUAUCCCAUCAUUCAAACAAAUUCCCAAGGUGAUUAGCAAAUAAUAAUUAGCAUCUGCAGUGAUGUUAAAACAUUUUCUAUCAUAUCAUUCAAGCCAGCAAUUGCUCCACAUACUGCUUUUACCAGGCCGGUAUUCUAUUUAGCAAGAUUUAUAUACCGCUCAAUCAGUUUGCUGCAAUCAGUUAAGCCUGUGCAUUCUUGCUGCCUUGGGCCCAAUUAUCCACAUGAGUAACACCUGAGCAUGUGUCUACAGCAAAGGUCCCAGUGAGACAAGAUAGUGCCUCUUUCUUUGUGCAGUUCUUUGGGAUGACACAGUCUGGAAGAACCUGCCUUUCAUUUACAGCACAUCUUAUCUUCCUUGCAUGUUCUUUUAUACUUUGGGUGACUGCGUUUAUCCAGGACAAAGGCAAGUCACUGAGAAGACAUUUCCACAAUGUCUUUGCAGAUGGAAUGUUGGAAAGUGUCCAAGUAAUUGCCAUAGAAUGUGUGUGGUCUUAACAUUUUAGCAAGUGCCUGCUCUGUCAUUUAUUGUGACACCGUAGGAAGCUGAAAAGUUGUACUGUGUUUGGUCAUAUGUUUACUCUGAAAGUGAUACUGACUCUGACUUAUUGCCCAUGUGGAUAUUGCCAGUGCAGUAUAAAAGGUUUGAUUUUCAGGUUUCUUCAGUAUCCGUGUCAUGAUUUAACCUCACCAUAGCAAGACUUGAAAGCUGACAUCUGUCUUUGGGUAUUUCAAAAUAGUGUUUUUCUUGCUGUUUGUUGGUGUAGUGAACAAAUGCAAGCGUUCCUUUCCUGCGGUUCAAAUAAGACUCCCAUAGAUGAUUUAUAUACCACUUUACAUUUCCAGUAAAAUAAAAAUAGCUCUAAGUGGUAUACAGCAUAAUUUUAUAACAUCUAAAUUAUCAUUGCAAAAUAUCAGAAUAAAAAAUUACAAAUGUAAAUCAAAUGCAGGAUGCAAGAGCCAUAUUUAAAGCAGUAUAUUCAACAGCAAAGCAAAAUAUCCUCUUAAACCUCAAGAAACACUACAAGUAAAAAUCAAGCAUAAAAACUCGAUAGAAUUUCACAUACUAAUGCAACAGUAGUGGCUAAACAAAAUGUAUUAUGAGCAAAUCUCUAAAUAAACAAAUGAAAAAAGCAAAACAGGGGAGCACCUUCUUCACAUAAAUGGUUAUCUCCACAACUUCUCUGCCAGAAAUUACUGCUUCAAAAAUUACCUUCACCAGUUUAUUUUUAUUUCUUUGCAAUAUUUAUAAACUUCUUUUUAGCACUUUGUGAUCCCAAAGUGAUGUUUCAGCAUGAUGAAAUAGUAACGGUUUCCACAAGAUUGCUGAACUCCUUGAAGCUGUGAAAAUGCGAUAGAAUCUUUUCAAAAAGUUUGAUUGAAUAUGUGUUCUGGAGUUGGUGUUUCUCCCCAGUAGUUGUGUGAUCCAUUCUUUAUGUUGAUGGGGUUUUUUUUGUUAAACAGAAUUUGUAUACUGCAUCAUCAUGAAAACCUCUAAGCAAUUUACACAAUUUCCUCUUUCAACUGUUCUAGCCCUUUGUUCCAUUCAACACUUUUUUGCCACUUAUCACUGCCACCUGUUUAUUCUGCUAUUCUUUUCUGCAUCUGUGGUUCUGAUUUGAGCUUGUUCUUCACAUGCAUAUAGCUACUUUGAGCUUUUGUACGUUAACAAUCCCCAACACAUUCUCUGACGGGUUUAUUAAACUAAGCUAAUUCAUGACAUCUUGCCAAAAUAGAGACAACUAGAUAAAGAAUAAAGACUGAUAAUUUGUCUGUGACACCAUUCCUCCCCCCAACCUUUCUAAAUCAUGAGUUUUUCACAAACCUUACUGGCUGUAUAGCAUGUGUUGUGACAGGACUGGCACCAAUACCUGUAACUUCUUGUCUCAUAUGCUGUACUUACAGGAGACAAAAGAGCCUAAACAAGGGCAAAAACAUCUGAUAUUUUAUCAGCAGUUUUGAUAGUUUUGGUGCUCAACAGUCUCUCUAAGCUGCUGUCCCAAACUGUAGCCACGAUUCUUAAUGGACUUUUAAAUGGUUCCAUUUGAGAUGAGAUUCCUUUGUGGGAGAAUUUGAUUGUGUGCAUGUAUAGUUAAAAGCGACACUAAUCCAUAUUUUAAUGGAACAGUGGGAAGUGGCUGCAGCUCAGCAGAAGUAGAUUGUUUGAAAAUACUAGUUGAUAGAGAAUUCACUUCACAAUAGUCCAACAUUGGUAAAAUAAUUGAGGAGAGCACAUAUUGUGAGGUGUCUCAGCAUAGGAACAGAGAUCUCCCUAAGGUGUGCACUUCAAGAGAUUCUGACUGGAAAUGGCAACUGGUGUUUGAUAUUCUGAAUCUGCAUUUUCUUUUUCCUGUAGAAAAAUGCCAAAAGUGUUUGCAGCCCUUUCUGACCUAUAACUGCUGUCUGUCUUUUUUUUUCUUUUUCUUUUUUACUAUUUUGUAAUUUUUAAUAAGAGUGGUAUACAAAUCUUAAUUAUUGAACUAUUUUUCCAUUUGCUGGCAUUUUAAGGAAUAGUGUACUUUAAUAACAUAAAACAAAAAAGUAACUGCGCUAUUGCCACAAACCACAUUCAAUGAUUUUAUAUUGCAGAUACUUGUGAGCUAACUCAGUCAUGUUCUCUUUUGGCUCCAUGGUAACAGUGGAGCACAUGGCUGAAAGUAUACUGUACAAGUUAAUGUGUAUUCUGGGACAUGUGGAACACAGUGUGAGAGCCAAGAUGCAGCCAAAAAGAGCCCUGAAGACUGCUCUUUUCUUUGGCAAAGUUCUUGUGGAAGCUAAUUAUUAUUUGAUUAUCUUUCACAGUGCUGCAUUGCUCCCUCAUACUAUUGACCAUCUUUAGAGAAGGCGUUGAAAAUCUCACCCGCCUCAGUUUUUCCACAAUAUAAAGUGAAAAGCUGCAAACCAAGACCACAGUGAGGAAGAGGCAGUAAUCUAUUUCUUAAAAAAAAGAGUGCCAUGGAGAUACCACUUUUUGAUUUCAAAAUCUUAUCUCUAAUCCUAUGAACACAAUAAAAGCCCUUUUAGAUCAGACCAAAGGCAUUUCUAGACAAGCAUCCUACUUACCACAGGGGCCAACCAGAUGCCUUAUGGGAAACCCAAAAACAGAGUGAGGACAAUAUCCUUCUCAUGACUAGUAAUCAUAGGGUGCUUAUGAUUCUAUAGGUAGUAUAUUGUUUUCAAGGCCAGUGAUUGCCUUUUCUUCCAUGAUUUUUUCUAAUAUGCUUUUGAAGCCUUCUAAGUUGGUGGUCAUCACUACAUCUUGUGGUACCAAAUCUUGUGGGUCAGUUACGCACACCAUGAAUCCUAGAUUCGUAGAAGCUAGUUGUGGUUACUCUGAGUAAGGAAAACAUACAUGUGUAUUUUUUUCAGGCACUCUAUAUUAUGACUUCAUGUGCUCUGGGAAUCUACAUUGAAAAUAGGUUCUUGGGCUAAAUCUUAGUGAAACCUGACUCAUAUUAUCCCUGGUUGGCCAGUAUAUUGUAAAUAUACUAUUGUGAUUGAUUUCUGGAGAAAUACUACUUCCUAGAGACUGUUUAUAUUGAGUUUGUAUAGUGUUUGAGGUGUGAGGGGGAUCUUUAGUAAGCUGAGUAAAUUUCUAAGUGUCUUGCCUUUGAGGUCGUAGCCCGAUAAAUGGCAGUACCUCCUCUCCUCUUUUGAAGCGUUUAUUCUUCUAUCCUUGCUAAGUGAUAGAAGGAUUAUGAGUGACAGUUUGAACUGUCAGUUUAAAUCAUAGGAAUUGAAAUAGUACUUGAAAGCAGCAGUGUCUAGAUCAUGGGAUAUUCAGAUGUGUAAUAGUUACACACAAAUUUGUGUUUCCACAUAUCUUUUGAUUUACUGAGAAACUUGAUCACUUAAAGGUUUAUUAUCCCUGUCUUUUUUUCUUAACAGCUCCCCCACCCCCUCCAUUUUUCAAUGUUUGUACAUUCCGGAUGGCCUACAAAAGAAUUCUGCUGCUAUAAGUAAUAGCAAAAACUGAAGAGAAAGUACAAGAGCCCCCGAGAGACAUCACUCUCAAAGCAGUAGUGUUGUUGGUCAGGUUCUCAGGAAGUAAGUGAAGAGGAUACAUUUUCCUACAAUGCUACUUCAAAAUCAGACAGGAUAUACAUUCCUUUAAUAGCUGAAACAUCCCUUACUAAUUUUCAUGAAUAAACACAGACAUAACACUGUACUAACAAUUCUGUAAUGCAGUGGGAACAGGCCAGCCCAUUAAAUAUUUUCCUUACGCCAAAUAGAUUAUUUUGCACAAUAUGUGAGGCAUGUGAGAAUGCUACACUUGUCUGCUUUUGGAUUUAUUUAUUUUUAGUCUGGGUUUGAAUCCAUAGCACAGUGAUUUUCUGGCUGUCAGUGGUCAUGUGAAUGCAGACAGAAGUGAGGAAUCUCUUCCUCAUGGUAGGUUACUACCGUUUGUAGCUUCAGUGAAUCAUCAGCUUGAGAAGUUGCUUGCCUGUUUCUCAUCCGGAUCUGUUGUGUUGAAUCGGAAACAAAGCCACAGUGGCUCCUAUGAAAGUCACUCUUAGAAGGUUGUAUCCAACCAAGUUGCUCCAUUAGUGCGAAGAUUUGUUCCUCUGACCCUCAAAAUCUGUCCUGGGGUUUCACCCAACCAUCACGAUUUCGAGGGGGCACAUGGGGAGAGGAGAGGGAGAGAAAGUCCCAUUUGCAAGUGGAAGUUCUUGCGCUAACAGAAUUACUUUGUUGGAUACAACCCAGGCGAUGCAAUGUCUGAAAGUUGUCGAAGGCUUCUGCCUAGACUUUUACUAAUUAAAGUUAUCCAGAGCUGAUGUAGAAAGAAACACAGAUGUAGGGGUACUGUUACUUUAGCCCCUGUAUAACAGAAUGACAGAGAAGGAUUUCGGUAACCAUGGAGGGCUUAAUUUCUCUGGGUUAGAAUAUUAUCAAGACAUGUGUUAACGUUGUGUAAAUAAGUGGAUGAUACUUAUAAUUGAUUAAUAAGAGUGUUUUAUUUUUAUUUUUGUCUGUUUAUUUUUCCUCUGUUGUAUGUCUUUUGUUUUUUUGUGGAAAUUUCAAUAAAAAGCAAAUUUAAAAAAAAGAAAGAAUAUUAUCACACAGCUUUCUUCAAAGAGCCACAGACUUUCUACCAAAAUCUGUAUAAUAGGAAGAAGCUAGACUUGGGGAAAGCUUCAUCUAGUUGCAGCUUCUAUGAUUCGCUUUUCAGAGUUCAUGUGUGAGAGACAUUCUCCUCCCGCAUGGAGACACUUGUACAAAUGGUAUUUUUCCACAAGUACUUACUGGCUUGGGGAGGGACACUGCUGGCAUCAAAUGGGGAUUGUAUAAUUUCCCCCAUAUUUACAGAUCAAAAGAUACAUAUAUUUUGAUCCAAGUAUAAAUAAUAAAGUGGAGAAGCUGGUUUUAUUUAUUUGAAUAACUUCUCUAUGAGGGUAAAUCCUCAUUUUUUUAAACAUCCACUUGUAGACAUGGAAAUUCUGUGAAGAAGGCUGAAAGGUGAAUUUGAAAAAUAUUUAUACUUUUAACCGUACCUAAUAUUGAUUGAUUUUUAAUGUAUUCUUAUGCUUCUAACAUUUACUUGCACAUUUUUUGGAACACCAGUUAAAUAUGUAACCAUGGAGCUCAGUGAACGGCAGUUGUUUGAUUCAUUUUUCAGUAAUAUGCUUCCCUAGCGAUAAAGGAAGUAUUAGAGUGAAUUUAAAACUUGCCAUAAUUUUAUAGACUGUUAUUUCUGCUUUUUGUUUUUGUUUAUUUUUACACUUCUGUCCUGCUUUUAAAACUUGUAAAGUUUUACUUACAAAAAGAUUAAUGAUUGUUGGCUUAAAAAAAAAAAAAAAGGAAGCACAUGGUAGCCACAAUUUUUUGGUUCAGAUGAAACAAGAAAACCCAGUUUAUCAAAAGCAGAAGGAAAAGUUUCUGAAAUCUUCCUUCCAGCCUCAAAUGUGUGUUGGUUUAAAAUGAGUGGGAAGUGUCAUUUGAAAGUUUUAAAAACACAGACACAAUAGAAGUCUUUCUUAGGACUGCUAAUGAUCACAGAGCUUGGCCUCUGUUUGGUUUCAGUAUACUCCUGUGUUUUUGCACCUGUCCGCCAAAAUGCUGUUCCAAACAUAAUUGAGGAUAUUGUUCUUGGGGGAGGGGGAUUACAAAGGAUCUGCUCACGGCCUUGUCCUUUCAGAUAAGUAAAUGCAGCUCCUCUCCAAACUCUUGUCAUUACCAAAUACCAAAAGGAGCGAAAUGUCAGUUUAUUAUAACACUUAUUUUCUUAACACCUAAUCAGAAGAUACAGAGUUUCACAUAAUAUUAUGGUAGCACUAAUACUGUUUGUAAUAUCACAGUUUCAGGUCCUUUGGAGUCUCUGUUGUUAGCAUCUCUAUUCCCUAGAAGUCUAAUUCCAACAUGGACAUGUAGAAAAAGGAUAGAACAUCACAUUAAAAACAUAGCCUAGGGUUGACCUGAAGGCUGAGAUUAUGCAACUAUACCACAAACUAGGUGGUAGAGUUUGAGCCAGAGGCAGAUUCAAGUAGUAUAUAUAUGUGUGUGUGAAAAUCAGUGGGGGUUUUGUGUCUGCUGUUUUCUGCUCAAAACAAGCAACAAACAUGAGCAAUAUUGAGUGAAACAUUAAAGAUUCUUUAAAGUCAGUGGAUAGCAAGAGAGUGUACUCUAAAAAUAUACCUUAAGGUCUGGAAAAGUUUAUGUGAAAGAUUGUAAAUCUGGGAUACAAACCUGAUGCAAACUCAGGGACAGGUGUGCACUGCCCCCAUAUUAGCUUUUUCAGACAUCCCAUUCAGCAAAACUAUGACACAUCUCUGAUGGUGCCAGUAGCUCUGUUUUUUGGCUCGUGUUUUGGCCUGGACUAAGUUUUUUAGACGCAAGUCCCUUGCCUUUUCAGUGUGGGGACAACAUGGUAAAUUCUAUCAUGGACCAUUAAAAAUAAAUAACCAUGGUUGGCUUUAACUACAUAGCGAUCAAAUAUCUUUAUUGCAAUCCAUAGACCCACAAAACAGUUUCAAAACAAGAUACAGUUAAAACAACCAAACAGGUGAAAGAGACCGAGGUAGUCAUUUUGUUAUGUCUAGAGCGUGAUGGUCUUUGUUUCUUGCAACCUCCGAAAGAAACUUUCCCAUGGUCAGUGUAAUAUCAUUUGACCUAUCCUCCAGAAGGUAUUUAAUAUGGGAGGCUUCAGUGAAUUGGGAUCUAGCAGUAUCUGCCUUUCCAUCAUCAUUUGCCUUCCCUGUGUUCAAGCCUUCCUGAUACCCUUUGUUGGCCAACUAUGCAAAUAGUUUCCCAAGCUCCAUUCAUGUAUUUCCUUGGGUUGGUAGGUAAGAGCUGAAGUUCUAAGACCUUUGUGUUGUGGUCAAAUCUUCACCUACAUUGAGUUGACUCAGUUCAGCUUAGUAAUUCAUACUGAUUAAUUAGCUGUUGUAUUACAAUUUGUGUUUGUUUUAAUAUUCCAAUUUGUUGUAGCUGUUAUCUACCUAAAUACUUCAGUUAAAAAUAAUUUUUAAAAUCAGGCCAUAUGUUGAAUCUGACACAUAGUCCCAGUCCAUGCAAUUAUGACCCUUUAAUUUUGAGGACUAAUUGUGUAGAUUGGGCUAGUGCACAUUGGGCUGGUAUGUGUGGACAAUUAUGGCAUGUUGCAGAGUGGAUGUAAUCCUCAUCCAUCACCCAUCUACAUGGGGCUGCAUUGCUUGAUGCCACAUCUGAAAUAGUAAAAAUAAUACAAUUAAAACACAGUGUGCUUUCUUUUCUAAUAUGUGGUAGGUAUAUUUGUAAUAUAUGUAAGUGCUGGCAGAUGCAUUACUUUAUUCCAUAUUGCAUUUUCAGAGAAAGUGCAGUUUUAUUGAACAAGAGGAUUGAAUUCUUAACUGACUAAUCAAUUUUCGUAGCCUAGUAUUAAUGGACAGCUGUAUCCAUUAAUCAGGGCUUUAGUAGAUUAACAGUUGUCAGCAUUUAUGCUAAUAGUACUUACAUACCAUACUUGUGAAAUGCAGUUAUGUUUCCAUAUUUUUAUAAAACAUUUGAUAAAAUUCUCUUGCUUUGUACCUUCAGAUUGUUCCGUUCACGCUUGUAUAUGUCUCUUAGAAGUGGAAAAGGGUAAUUCCCAUUCUGACAUGAUGCAUCAUCAUUUGAGACUUCUUCCUCAUCUUCCACCUACUAAUCUUUGUGUCAAAAUAAAAGGAAAUAAUUUGUUCUAAGAUUUUGAUUGCUUUGCAUUAGCCUUGCAAUAUGAGUAAAAUAAGGCAUAUAUUAUAUUAAACUUAUUUCAGCAGUCUUUGGUGUGUAGAAGUUGGAAGAAAAAGCAUUUUAAAGGAUUCCGGAUUGAGACCUUACAUCCUUGUUAGAUCAGGCCAAGGCUCCAUCUCCUCAGUUUCUGUAGUGACCAGACAGCUGCUUCUCAGAACUCGGAGAGCAUGAAGGCAAAAGCUCUCUGAUGUUUCUUCCCCUACACAGGGGUACCUCAGGUUACAGAUGCUUCAGGUUACAGACGCUUCAAGUUACAGACUAUGCUAACCCAGAAAUAGUACCUCGGGUUAAGAACUUCGCUUCAGGAUGAGAACAGAAAUUGUGCAGCGGCAGCGGGAGGCCCCAUUAGCUAAAGUGGUAUCUCAGGUUAAGAACAGUUUCAGGUUAAGAAUGGACCUCCAGAACUGGUUAAGUUCUUAAGCAGAGUAAUUAGGGGAAGUGUCAAGUAUCUGCUUUGCAUGCAGAAGGUCCCACAUUCAAUCUCCAGAAUCUCCAGUUAGUGCUGGAAAUGUUCUGUGCUCAAACCUGGUGAGCCACUGUCAAUGUAGACAGUACAGAGCAAUAUGUUGUUCAAGUUGUUCCUAGUUGUUAGAAGUUUAGCCUCUGAACACAUCUACUUGUCAUAUCUUCAGACUGUUGGUAACCUCUGUGGUUUUUAAAUUUGCACACAUUUCUAUCAUGCAUGGCAGGGCUUGAAACCCCAAACCCUUGCACCCAAAGUGAGAAUUAAACCCAUGGACCAACAAAAGGCUGGAGGUCAGCAAAAAGACUGCCAUUGUGUCUUUUGGGUGGCACGAACCACCCACAUUUCAAGUAACAGCUGAAUGUGUUGUCCAGUGGUGUAUGAGUUUGAAAAAUCACAAUGCAGCUGUGUGUCUUUAGUUUGAUUUGGGUUUGAGAUUGUGUGUGUGUGUAAAGACCGCCUGCCUGCUUGUGUCUCCAGCUUAAGAAAAAGGAAAUGGGCCCCUAGAAAAAGUCUGAGUUUUGUUUGGUUUAUUUUAGUUGAAUCAUUUGAGGACCUAGUAUGCACACUUCAGUUAGUUGAUUGCUAUAGAUUGUCCAGUGGCUCUGGAGAGCUCAUCAAGAUGUCUAAUAGCUAUAUCUUAUUGAUUGUCCUUCAAUUAAUCACAUCUGAUGCUUUCAUUUAUCAAAAACCAAAUACAUGUAAUUAACUUUGAAGUGAGAGAGCUCAUUUCAAAGUGGUAUUUGCUACUGUCACUGAAAUAUCUCAGGGUAGAUUAUACUAAUGGGGAGCACAAGUCAAAAUUAAGCUAAUGGUGUCCUGUCUGUCAAGGAAUAAUCAUUUUAAAACAGAGUUGGAGUACUGCUAUUCUCUGCAGGUC